GGGAAUGUGGCUUAGUGGUAGAGUGUUUGCCUAGUAUGCAUGAAAUCCUGGGUUCGACUCCUCAGUACCA
rnacentral:tRNA from 1 species